UACGUAGGGGGCAAGCGUUGUCCGGAUUUAUUGGGCGUAAAGAGCUCGUAGGCGGUUCAGCAAGUCGGGUGUGAAAAAUCUGGGCUCAACCCAGUGGAGCACCCGAUACUGCUGUGACUCGAGUCCGGUAGGGGAGUGUGGAAUUUCUGGUGUAGCGGUGAAAUGCGCAGAUAUCAGAAGGAACACCAACGGCGAAGGCAGCACUCUGGGCCGGUACUGACGCUGAGGAGCGAAAGCGUGGGGAGCGAACAGG
rnacentral:rRNA from 1 species